rnacentral:rRNA from 1 species
UACGGGGGGGGCAAGCGUUGUUCGGAAUUACUGGGCGUAAAGGGCUCGUAGGUGGCCAACUAAGUCAGACGUGAAAUCCCUCAGCUUAACUGGGGAACUGCGUCUGAUACUGGAUGGCUUGAGUUUGGGAGAGGGAUGCAGAAUUCCAGGUGUAGCGGUGAAAUGCGUAGAUAUCUGGAGGAAUACCGGUGGCGAAGGCGGCAUCCUGGACCGACAUUGACGCUGAUGAGCGAAAGCUAAGGGAGCAAACGGG